GGUUGAAUCCUUGAUUCCACAAUGGCAAACAUGGGAAGGAGAAAGCUGGUUGGUGCUCUGUGGUAUUCACCUCAUGCAUAACAGCUCUAGAACACACCACGGAGCCCCCUCACUGAUGAAGAUAACAUUUCUGGGGAAGAACCAGAAAUGUUCUCCGUUCAGAGUCAGCAUCCUUCACCUACAUCCCUCAGUUUCCAGGCCUGGCUCUCUGGUCCUCUUCACAAUACUUUCACUGCUGACUACAGCAUACUAGCAGACGAUCAUAAGGAUGUGAUGAUCGAAGACUGAUUAAUACGCUUUCAGGUUUCCUUUGUAAAUAAGGAUUUGCUUCUGUCUUCUCCCUAACCACAAGCAAGCCCAUGAGCUGAGAAAGAGCUGGGGAGCCAGAACUUGAGCCCUGGAGAGCAGCUGGGCCAGGAAGCACUCAGAUGCUUGGAGUCAGACAUGCAAUUUCCCUAUCUUAGAAAGUAUCACAUGUCCUGGCUGUUUCCUAAGUAACUUCUGGCUGAUGGGUGAUAAUAUUAGAAUAAAUGAAAAGUUGUUUGUCUCUGGUGGGGAAAAAAAUCAGUCUUCAAAGGAAUAAUAAAAUGUUGCUCUGCUAA